UAUAAAGCUUGCAAAGUGAUUCGGAGCGAAGGACAAAAUCAACUCGUGAAUAUUUACCAUCAUUAAGCUGAAAGACAUUUUGAAAUGUAAAGGAUUAAACAAAAGAUAAAAGCAAAAUUCAAGCAAAAAAAGCGAUUAAUAAAAUCAUUAAUAAACAACGAUCGAAUGCUAAUCAUUAUAAGUAAUUAAAACAACUGUACAAUUAGUCUAACGAAAAACGACAAUUCUGAUUAUAAUAAUGAUUGUUAAUCAGAUGCUGAUAUUAAAGCAAAUAAUUUCGAUUUAUCAUUAUUCAAGGAGACAAUGUCUAAACAUUCAUUAAAGCUACUUAACAAAGAAGAAAAUGUGACACCGAACAUAGCUAUGUUUAAAUUACCUUCUUACGAAACUUCACAUUUAAAAGAUCAAACAACGCCGAACGAAACGAACAAAGAUUAGCAAGGAACGAAUAAAAAUGGAAAUAUCACAACUACAAUCAAAAACAAUGAAUUUAAAUGACAUGAUGAAGAUGUUGUAUUUAAAGAUAAUAUUUCAAUCUUGAAGAUAUGGAAAAAAUAACUGAGAUUUCUUAAUGAAACGUUAUUACAAAUUGUCGACUAAAAGAUAAUACAAUAUUUAAUAUAUCUCAAUUAUCAAUGAAUAUUUUUAACUCUUUUUUAUCGAAAUACUCAUUUCUAUGAAAUCAUCUCAAUUUAAUCGUAAGAUCAACAAAGAAAUGUUAAAUAAAAUGUGAAUAAAUAAUGGAUAAAAAAUAUAUAUAAAUAUUAGAUCAUUUCAUUCAUUAUAUGUAUAUAUAUUUUUAUGUGAUAUUUGAAUGAAAUGAUUUCGUAUAGAUGGCAGCGAGUUGCUUUAGAGAGAAAAAAUAAAUGCUAAAUCGUUUACCGAUGUCCUAUUGAGUUCUGAUAAUCAUAUAGAAUUUCUAAUGAACGGAAAAACAGUAUUUACGAAGUCUCUUGAGCUAGAGGGAUUUGGAAGUGGGGGAAGGUGGUAGGAGAUGGGAGGAGGAAAUUCGAAUGGAGGCAAACCGUUUUAACGAAGUUCGGAGAUAUAACUAUAAUUUUGUCCAUUUCGCGUCGCGCAGGGAGCAUCGAUUUGAUUCGAACAUACAAAGAGAAAGAGCAAAAGAGAGAGAGAGAGAGAGAGAGAGAGAGAAAGAGAGAGAGAGAGAGAGAGAGAGAGAAAGAGAGAGAGAGAGAGAGAGAGAAAGAGAGAGAGAGAGAGACUGUCUAUAUAUCUCUGUUUACGUGUGUUAUGUUUAUAUGUAUGGGUGCAUGCGUAUCCGAGAGAAAACCAUGAUAAUGCGACCGCGCGAGUAUUUCGAUGAAACACACGUCGAAAUCGGUAAUUCGAGAUGAUCGAUACAAGUGAUUGCACUGGGAUAGGAUUAGUGAGACGCGAUUUGUUCCCCAAAUUAUACUGGCAAUCACUGACUGUCCAAUUUAAUCGAGUCGUUAUACCUUCCCAUUGUUGCUUAUUUCAUUUAAUAAUUAAACGAUGAUAGAACGAUACUGGGAA